UUCCGGGGAGCUCCGGGGGUCUAGGGGCCCGGAGUCCCAGGAACUCCAGAGUUCUCGGGUGGGGGGGGCCCGGGGGACUCGGAAGGUCUCAGGGUCUUGGGGAUCUCAGGGGUCGGGGAACUCCAGGGCCCAGGGCGGUCUCGGGGCGGGGUGUUUGCCUCAGGAUCCCGGAGGAUUCGGGGCACCAUGGUCGUGGCCCGCUGGCGUGGGCUCCCCAGGAACCGACGCCCUGGUUUUGCGUUUUCUGCGGCCUACACCGACUCUGGACUUGUGAAUGCAGCGAAAUCUUAAUGAAUGAGUAAUGAGACAGCAGAGUCGUCCGCGGGGUGGGGGCUACCAAUCUCCCCACCCCCGGCCCCGGCCCCGGCCCCGCCCCCGGUCUGCGAAGCCAGACCCAGGUCUGUGUUCCCAGCCUCCCCGCCCCCCAGAGGCUCCCCGGGUGUCUGAUCCCUGCCUCCUGGGCUCCUACUCCCCCCGCCCCCAGCCAGCCUCAACUGUCAACCUCUCUCUGAUGCCUUGGCCAUCGCUUUCUGUCUUCCCAACUGCUUCCCAUCUGCUUAAAACCCUCCUGUCUCCAUUUCCCGGACAUCUCUCAUUGCCUGUUCUGUUGGCUGACUUACCUGCCUGCCUCCCCGCCCAGCUUGUCCUCACGAUUUUGCCCUCCAGCCCUUGCUCUUCCUCCAUGAAGUCUCUCUUUUAAGGUCCCCUGACGGUUGCCUUGCAUGGAUUCCUCUGAAAAAACAGAUAUUUCCAGUCCCAACUUCUCUCUCAAUGCCAGUCUGACAUUUCCAAUCAAUUGUGAAAUGCCCACCUGUGUGAUUUCAGAUGUGCCAAACCGGACAUUUCUGAAAAUCAAAAACUCGUCUUCUCCCUGUAAGUAGACCUAUCCUCACACUGCCAUGCCAGAGGGCAGCCCGCGCCCUGACUCCCCUGCAGACUGCAGAAAAAGGACUUGCUAAGUCCCGAGAACACAGGGCAGAGAAGACAAAGCCUGAUCCAAGGCAGAGGGUUGCAAUUAGCCCCACAAAGUGCAUUAGGAACAUCAAGGGGGGGCCGGUGGAGACAGACAGAGGCGUCUGACAGAGGAGAAAGUUGAUAAGGGAGGUGCAUCUGGACACUUACUACUGUAACUUCUGCUAACAGUGGGGCGACUCCCUCAGGUAACACAUGUCGUGGUAAGCCUAGGGACUUGUGACCAUGUGCUGAGCACUAUUCGAAGCGCCUAACUACGUAUUAACUCACUUAAUUCCUACAACCCCACAAGGUGGGUGGGUAAACCAAGGCACGGGAAGCUGCUCAUUAGCCUGUGGUCAAACAGUUAAUGGUGGCAGAGUUGGGUUUGAACCCAGGUGGUCUGGCCCAGCAUUUUUGUUCUUGACCACUAGCUGUUCUGCUUCUCCGUCACCUUCUCAGAUCCUUUCAACAAGUCCUAUUGUUGUUACAGAAACUUCCUAUGUUCUAAAGUUGAAAAUAAUUUUGAAUCAUGAUUCUCUCAGUUAUUAACUAUAAUGCCCUUUUUUGUGUUAUCAGGAGGUUAGAUAAAUAUGCCUCCUAUGUCUCCGUGGCACUUGCACAGAAAGCCUCUGGGAUAAUCAGGACUCUGUGGCUACACUCACCUGCUGAACUGCUGGACAGCCCCUCAGAGCUCUGCUGGUGCCCUUCCUCUCCCUCGGGUGCCUGUGAGUUCCCUCAGCCUCUCCCGUUGCCCUCACGCUUACGUGGCCAGAUCCUCCUUGAAAAUCCAAUAUUUAGAACAGUUGAAGCCUACUUGGUCACGUAGAACAGAAGAGGAACCGUUCUUUGAAAGAAACCCAAAACAGGACUCUUGACAAAGAGCAAAUACAUUAACAUGUGUGUCAGAAAAGAAAUGUGAGGUAAUUUUGUAAAUCUUGUCAGUAAAAAACUGACAGGCCUUUCAUAUUUUUACUGUUCUCUCAUGAAUUUGGAAUCAUAUUUGCCAAAAAAACAAUAAACACUUGCCAUGUGAAGAGUCCAAGGCCUCAAGUCCCCACCCCAGCUCUGCCCUGUACAAGCUGCAUGUGCUGUGGUGGGUGAGUCAGCUCCACGGAGCCCUGGCCCCUCUUUGCCAAGUGGAGAAAUCAUGUCCACCCCCAAAGGAUUGUUUAUGGUGAUUAGUUAAGAGAUUCUCGGCUCCCACAUGUGGCAAUGAAAUCAUCCCUCCGAGCGCGUCAUCAUGCACCAUCUGAGUUCUUUGCUAGCUUUGUAAGGGACAAGAACCAGCACACGAACAGAAGAGACGUAUGGAACACCCUCCGGUCAUCGUGCGUCUAUGGGUGUGACGUUGGGGGAGGGGCUGUGGGCAAACGAGGCCACUCGCAGGAGCUGCGCAGCCGGGAGGCGUGUCUGAAGGCCCAAGCCCCGCGGUCCGGAGCCGCACAGCCGGGAGGAGGUGCCCAGCAUCGCACACCACCCGCGUGGUGAUGAGAAUCAUCGUCCUUCCCUUUGCACCUGCCCUUUGCCUGGCUCAGCGUGGCUUCCUGGGACAGGUGUGUGUCCCGAAGCACUAAGAGGCUGCUGGUGUCUGGGGGCCCUUUUAGAGGAGAGUCGGAAAAGCCACCUGCAGUGAAGGCAGGUCACCAAUUCUUGAGCUGAUUUCCACCGUGUUUGAAGAUGUCUGGUGACUCGGGCUCCUCAGAGGGGGAGCCUCGUGGCGGAAGUAAGCCUUGGCUGUGGCGAAGGACCCUCAAGGGUGCCCUGCGGUGCUUUCCAGCGACUUCGGCCAGUCGGGGUCCAUCCCGGCAACAGGCUGUCUUCCAUGCCUGUUGUGCGGAAUUGGUCUUCUCUGUCGUACUUUCUUGUUGCUGUGAUUCUCACAGAUGAAAAGUAGGGUUUGCAGCAGAAUCUGUGCCUGGGGAACGUGAUCAAACUUCUUGCCUAAAAGGAGCCUUUGUGUGGGUGUUCGUACUUCGCCUUGCGUAGCUGUGCGGAAUCAGUGUUAGGAUCCUGCCCGUCCGUGAACACUUCUGAUCCACCGUCCACAGGCCGGUGGCUUGGCGCAAGCCUGCUGUGCGGUCACCUUUCGCUCAGCGAGUCACCAUCACGGGACCGUGACCACCUACCUGCCCCUCCCGUGCACCUCGUGCAGUGCCUGGUGAUGGGGCUGCCGUCUGCUGUUCCGGACCGGCCGGCCACACCUUCACACUGCGGGACGUCCGCCCUGCGGUGCGGAGCCGCCUCCUUCCUCCCGCGCUCCAACCUCACCACCCACAGUAGAGUUCCUUCUUUCAAGGAACGGCCGGUUAGGUUCGUCUUUCGGAGUCUGGGGCUGUUACGGCACCGGUGGCCGGCAGAGGCCUGGCUUAACCCGACGGCCCAAGGACUCUCUGCAGCAACUCACUACUCAUCCUCAUCCGGAGAACAUCUGGUUCUGUGCUCCAACUUCCCAGCUAGAAGUCACUUGUUCACACGUUUCGGAUACGAAAUGUAAAAACCAAGACCCUUAUUAGGAUGCGCUACGGCACAGCGAUUGUGGCCCAUUGUGUCAGAGUCUCGAAAACGGCCACAGGGUAUGUCUGGGGAUACCCAGGAGCCCCCAUCCUGUGUGGCAGCGGCAUUCCCAAACUUUUGGGGAACACGGCCUGAGAAGGCUCGUAAAGCUGCAGACCGUGCGUGAAUGCGGGGAGAGUCAGAAUGCCUUCUCGGCCUUUCUGACGGAGGCCGAGGGAGCCGGAAGGGAGCACAGAUUCAAGAUGCGGCUGCCACAACCCGGUGUUCGAAACACAUUUGCCCACAGUGUCAACCCCACACGUCACCAGCACCGCUUUGUAGUGAGGUAUGUAUUGUCCUCUGUCGUCUUGGUUUUGGCCACAAUUCGCCUCCCUGUGGAAGUGGUGUGCUGUAAGAGAAUCCGAAAAACCAAAACGCGGAGCCCCACCAGGCUCCAGGCAGUGGACCAGAUCUGGACGACGAGUGGAAAUACUUUGUGAUGCCCCAGUGUGAAUAAUAGGACACGAAUCACAGAGGGUUGUGUCUUUCCACCUGCACGCAUCCGCUGCUUGUCUGAGGCAACGGGAGAUCAUGUGUUGCUUGCGACCACCCAGUGGUUCAGAUCCAGCCCCUAUGACCUCUGGGGGGCUCUCCACGCUGGUGUGAGAAUGACAGCACCUGUAAGUAGGGUGUGAGCUGAUGGAAAGCAGUGUGCUGUGACCACAGCCCAGGACACACGUUACAGGUGACCAGGGGCAAUUGUUCGAAUUUCUCAGCAAGGCCCCUGGUGCAGCCAGCCGGUCCAGCUAACGUCACCCUCCUGAGACCCAGGUCUCGAGGGUUGUUCCCACCCCGUGCUCCCCAGUGGAGCCCGAAGACCAGCCUGCGGCCGGCACCCCUGACUCCUUGCAGUCAGGAACCUCCUUCUGAGCCCCAGGGCGUCGGCUCUUCUGGCUUUGACCUGUGAGGCUCUCCUACCACCAGGCUACGCAGCCUCCUCGCGACAACAGAAUCACUGUGGAUGACGUCCACUCACCCACAACUGAAACUCGCGCUACCAGGAAGAGCCGCGGGGCUUGGUGGCUGGCCAGUAGACUGCAUAAAUACAAGACUCCACGUGGCUCGGCUUCACGCCAAAUGUCAGAAAGGGAAGGCCAGUGUGCCCCCCAACUCUUGGGCUUGGGGAGCGUGCACGGAGUGAAACCAAGAGGGCAAUGAGUGAAGGCGGUGUGGAACAGGACGGUCUUUCCCUUCUGUGUGACUCCUGCCGAGACCACCCACGGCAAGUCCCCGAGGGUGGAGCGCCUGGGAGCCACCUCUCAGCCGGAUGCAGGGCUGGUGUCCCUUCCACCCUCCAGAGGAGAGCCAGACGGCCACAUUCAUUCCUCUUGUUACACUCUUGCUCAAGGUCAGCACAAGGGGCCGCGAAUGCCGCUCACUUGUGUGGGGAGGUGGGCGCCCUUGGCCGCCGGGUGAGUGGAAACUCUCCUUGGAUCAGCUGUGGCCACGGCCACGCUAGGAUCCCACCCUCGCCCACACUUUUGACGGGGCGACUUUUGAUCGCUGCAUUAGGCAACGCUUUGUGGUAAACAUCAGGGUUGUCACCAGGAAGCGUGCCACGUUAUGCUUAUGACUUUAAACAACCCAGUUUUCAAAUCUACUUUGGAAUCUGAGUGAACGUGAACUAGUCCGCGUCUCCGAGGUGACCUGGUGCCAAACACUUCUCCGGGUUGGAGACACUUCCCAAGCUUCCCUGUGGGCCUGUUGUUUGGACUCUUGUCAGCAGCUCCCCCAACUCUGCUAAUGAGGUUUCUGAUAUCGUUGGACUGUUCCAGAACAUUCCAUCUCAGAAACGCUGGCAAGCCUCCUGGCACCGAGAAAGAUGCUGCUUGUGAGUGACUGUCAGCCUCGGCUCUGCAUCUGGAGAACCUGGUUAUCUUGGGGUCUGUCCCCCUAAAAACCCUCCAGACUCUUUUCUGCAGCCACCUCGAAUCUCAUUCCACCCAGUGCUCACUGCGCAGAAAUCAGACUCUGAACUUGCCAGGCUCCUGAGUCUGGGUGGAGUCUGGAGAUGGGUCGGGUCUGGGUUUCCCAUUCUGCAGAGCCCGCCGGACUCGCCUCGCCCAGGCAGCGCUGCACCCCGAAGCCUCUUCCAGGCCUGGCGCCCUCCCCCAGCUCCCCCAUCCUACGGCAGGUGCUGCCCGGCAGAGUUGUGGCUGCCGGGGACCAAGGACACGGAGCCGGCACCCAGGCGGCCGCUCCCGGAAGCUGGCAGAAGCAUGCUGCUGCCCGUGUAGACGCCUCCUGGCAUGGAAGGGCUGGGCCAGCGCCGGAGAUGGGAGUUCACGCCUCUGUGCGGGUGCUUAACCUUUCCUGCCUGUUGACUUAGGAGCAAAGCCAGUCAGGAAAUAGGCCCGAGAGCCAGAGGGCACCCAGCCCACGUCAACUCAGUACCGACGGAGCACCCACUGUGCUCACCCCUGACAUCCUGCACUGCGCAAAUGUCCCCAGUAGCAGGGGAUUUGGGCCACAGAGUGAAAACCUGCAGUGGUGUGAGUCUGGGUUCUCCACAUCUCAUACCUGCCAAUACCUAUAUUUUCAGAAUAGAUUUUUGAAGAGCAAACAACCGUGUAUCACAGAAUAAGAUGUACACCCCAACCCAAGGAUCUUAGAGCAAACACGGUGAGUGAAAUAAGGAAGUUACAGGCAGGGCAUGAAGGGCGGUCUCCAGAAGAGGGGGCUCAGGCGGGGUGGGACCUGGGCGAGGGGUCCCAGACACCUCCCCGCACGGUUCCUGGCAGCGGCUGGGCUGUGACGAUGGUGCUCUCACUGGCUGGUCUCACACGGCUGCGUUUUAAUUCUGAUGUCCAGGCCACCGCCCACCAAAACUGGAGCAGAGUUGGUUAUAUACAUAUAUAU